rnacentral:rRNA from 1 species
CCAGACUCCUACGGGAGGCAGCAGUGGGGAAUAUUGCACAAUGGGGGAAACCCUGAUGCAGCAACGCCGCGUGAGUGAGGAAGUAUUUCGGUAUGUAAAGCUCUAUCAGCAGGGAAUAGAAAAGAAGGUACCUGAAAAAGAAGCCCCGGCUAACUACGUGCCAGCAGCCGCGGUAAUACGUAGGGGGCAAGCGUUACCCGGAUUUACUGGGUGUAAAGGGAGCGUAGACGGCAUGGCAAGUCAGAUGUGAAAGCCCGGGGCGCAACCCCGGGACUGCAUUUGAAACUGUCAGGCUGGAGUGCAGGAGAGGUAAGUGGAAUUCCUAGUGUAGCGGUGAAAUGCGUAGAUAUUAGGAGGAACACCAGUGGCGAAGGCGGCGUACUGGACUGUAACUGACGUUGAGGCUCGAAAGCGUGGGGAGCAAACAGGAUUAGAUACCCCCGUAAAG